rnacentral:rRNA from 1 species
AGAGUUUGAUCCUGGCUCAGGACGAACGCUGGCGGCGCGCCUAACACAUGCAAGUCGAACGGAGCUUAGAGAGCUUGCUUUUUAAGCUUAGUGGCGAACGGGUGAGUAACGCGUGAGUAACCUGCCCUGGAGUGGGGGACAACAGUUGGAAACGACUGCUAAUACCGCAUAAGCCCACGGAUCCGCAUGGAUCUGCGGGAAAAGGAUUUAUUCGCUCUAGGAUGGACUCGCGUCCAAUUAGCUAGUUGGUGAGGUAACGGCCCACCAAGGCGACGAUUGGUAGCCGGACUGAGAGGUUGAACGGCCACAUUGGGACUGAGACACGGCCCAGACUCCUACGGGAGGCAGCAGUGGGGAAUAUUGCACAAUGGGGGAAACCCUGAUGCAGCGACGCCGCGUGGAGGAAGAAGGUUUUCGGAUUGUAAACUCCUGUCGUUAGGGACGAUAAUGACGGUACCUAACAAGAAAGCACCGGCUAACUACGUGCCAGCAGCCGCGGUAAAACGUAGGGUGCAAGCGUUGUCCGGAAUUACUGGGUGUAAAGGGAGCGCAGGCGGACCGGCAAGUUGGAAGUGAAAACUAUGGGCUCAACCCAUAAAUUGCUUUCAAAACUGCUGGCCUUGAGUAGUGCAGAGGUAGGUGGAAUUCCCGGUGUAGCGGUGGAAUGCGUAGAUAUCGGGAGGAACACCAGUGGCGAAGGCGACCUACUGGGCACCAACUGACGCUGAGGCUCGAAAGCAUGGGUAGCAAACAGGAUUAGAUACCCUGGUAGUCCAUGCCGUAAACGAUGAUUACUAGGUGUUGGAGGAUUGACCCCUUCAGUGCCGCAGUUAACACAAUAAGUAAUCCACCUGGGGAGUACGACCGCAAGGUUGAAACUCAAAGGAAUUGACGGGGGCCCGCACAAGCAGUGGAGUAUGUGGUUUAAUUCGACGCAACGCGAAGAACCUUACCAGGUCUUGACAUCCAACGAAUCCUUAAGAGAUUAGGGAGUGCCUUUCGGGGAACGUUGAGACAGGUGGUGCAUGGUUGUCGUCAGCUCGUGUCGUGAGAUGUUGGGUUAAGU